UAGAUGUCUUAGAGAAUUCUUAAUCUUUGGGUUCUUCAAUUUACAUGUUCUCAAUGCUAGAAUAGGAUUGAUCACCCUGUUUUAGAACUUAGGCUUUUAUUUUUUCCAGAGAUGUUCGAUAAAAUGUCUGAAUGAAUGUAAAUUGAGCAUUGUAUUUCUAACCUGCGAGAGUUGAUGUUAGAAUGUCUUGUGAACCAAAUGAGCAUGUUUGAUAAUGCGAAUUUGGCUAGGAAAUUACAAAUGAGAGUUUAGUAAUUGAAUAGUUGAAUUUAGUGAUUAAUGUCUUGAGAGAGAAUUAGUCUAAACUUGUGUUCAUGUUUAAGAACGGUUCUUCAUGCUUGAAUUUCUUAUUGCUUUUAUUCGUUAUUCAUUGAUUCUCUGAAAAU
rnacentral:lncRNA from 1 species